UGCCGGCCUUAAUAGGUGCUCGCUAACAGCACUUGCCCCGACAGUCUUCAUGUCGGCUGUAGGGGUGGUGAGCAACACUGGAGAUUUGAAGUUCGUUUUCCCGACGCGGCAGUGAAACGAUUUUAUUUACCAGCCGGUGCCACUCGCGAUUUCUUCAGCGCCGAGUCGGCAGAUCCGCAGUGGCCAAUUCCGAGCAGGGCAGGGCCGAUCCAGGUCUUCACCGGAGCCGUCCUCUCUUCCCUGAGCACCCGAUCUUUCUCGGAGUCGGAGAGGACCCUGCGAGCGAUGUGGAUGCGCGUCUGCGGUUGCCGCCAGAGGAGCGUCAGUGUCUAGUGUUGAGGGCAACUCUCCGCUACGAGUCCGGCCACCCGAGUUCGACACCAGCCCAUGGUCACCGUCAACGCCAGCGACGAUUUCACGAGUACCUGGAGCGGUGUGUGUGAUCGUCAGUACUGGGGAGACAAAGGCGGCCGGGCGUGGUUGCUGACCACCCCUCUUGGGGCUCCCACUCAAAGCCACGAUCGACGCCUUGACCGACGU